GGGUGAUUAGCUCAGCGGUAGAGCACUGCCUUCACACGGCAGGGGUCACAUGUUCGAUCCAUGUAUCACCUACCA
rnacentral:tRNA from 1 species